rnacentral:RNase_P_RNA from 1 species
GACAGUCGCUGCCCUCUAUGAAAAUUAGGGGGGGGAGGAAAGUCCGGGCUCCAUAGGGCGAAGUGCCAGGUAAUGCCUGGGAGGCGUGAGCCUACGGAAAGUGCCACAGAAAAUAACCGCCUAAGCACUUCGGUGCCGGUAAGGGUGAAAAGGUGCGGUAAGAGCGCACCGCACGACUGGCAACAGUUCGUGGCUAGGUAAACCCCACUUGGAGCAAGACCAAAUAGGGUCCCAAGGCGUGGCCCGCGCUGGGACCGGGUA